CACCCCCCGACCCCUGUGGCGGUGGUGCGCGCCCCCGUCUCACGCGCGUCCCCGCCCCAGUCGUAUGAACCUGCCGAGACUCGGACUGCGAACAGCCUGGGAUCCGCAAUUAGGCAGAAACAUGGCAACGAGCGCCGCACGCCUGCUGCUGUCUCUACCCAAGGUCUCCCUGUCCUCUGUAAGCUGGUUAACGUCCCUGUGAGAUAUUUUGUCAGCGGGGGAGGCGGGGAGUCUUACGGAGACCUGAUAGAAGCAGCCUGCCGUGGGAAUGUGGAGUGUAGCGCUACAAAGCUGACGCCGGACACGGCUCGUGCACGAGGACGGCCGGCCACUGCACUACCUGUCCGGAAUAGGAUAUUUUUUUUACCCAAGCCCCCCCAGAGCCACGAUGUACUGUGCAGACUCCAUGGGUGCAGUAGAUAUACGCGUACGAAGGAACCCCAUCGCUCUCACUUAAUGCUCCCUUCCUGAUCCAGCCCACCGGCUGCUCUUUCUGAGACUGACGCUCGUAAAGUUCGCUAUGGACCAGUUUGCUGCCCCCGUGCGUGAAAGGCGUCGCGGUUUGGCUACUCUUUGGGUCGUGGCCUCCGCGUUGACGGCGUGCGCCGCCAUCCGCGCCGACUCGGCGGACAGCCACAGCAUGUUUGCCUGCGAGCCCAUCACCCUGCGCAUGUGCCAGGAACUACCCUACAACAGCACCUUCAUGCCCAACCUGCUGACCCACUAUGACCAGCAGACCGCUGCACUGGCCAUGGAGCCCUUCCACCCCAUGGUGAACCUGCAGUGCUCCCCGGACCUGAGGUCCUUCCUGUGUGCCCUUCACGCCCCGGUGUGCAUGGAGUACGGCCGUGUGUCACUGCCCUGCCGCAGCCUCUGUGUCCACGCCCGCCGCGACUGCCUGAAGCUGAUGGAGAUGUUUGGCGUUCCCUGGCCAGAGGAGAUGGACUGCAGCAGGUUCCCUGACUGCGACGAAUCAUACCCGCGGCCCGUGGACCUUCUCGCCAGCACCGAGCCCACGGACCAGUCGUCCAUGUCCGUGCAGCGCGAUUACGGCUUCUGGUGCCCCCGUGAACUGAAGAUGGAGCCAGAGUUGAGCUACUCCUUCUUGGGGGUGCGCGACUGCUCGCCGCCCUGCCCCAACAUGUACUUCCGGCGUGAGGAGCUCAAGUUCGCCCGCUACUUCAUUGGUGUCGUCUCCAUCUUCUGCCUGUCUGCCACCCUCUUCACCUUCCUCACCUUCCUCAUCGACGUCACCCGCUUCCGCUACCCGGAGAGGCCCAUCAUCUUCUACGCCGUGUGCUACAUGAUGGUGUCGUUGGCGUUCUUCCUGGGUUUCUUGCUGGAGGAUCGAGUGGCCUGCAAUGCCGCCAGCCCCGGGCAGUACCGGGCCUCCACCGUCACCCAGGGCUCGCACAACAAGGCCUGCACACUUCUCUUCAUGGUGCUCUACUUUUUCACCAUGGCCGGCAGUGUCUGGUGGGUCAUCCUCACCAUCACCUGGUUCCUGGCUGCCGUGCCCAAGUGGGGCAGCGAGGCCAUCGAGAAGAAGGCCCUCCUCUUCCACGCCUGCGCCUGGGGCAUUCCGGGCACACUCACCGUGACCCUGACCGCCAUGAACAAGAUCGAGGGCGACAACGUGAGCGGCGUGUGCUUCGUGGGCCUCUACGACGUGGCGGCCCUGCGCUGGUUCGUGUUGGCGCCCCUUUGCAUUGACGUGCUGCUGGGCAUGGUGCUGCUCCUGGCCGGCAUCGUGGCACUGAAUCGCGUGCGCAUGGAGAUCCCGCUGGAGAAGGAGAACCAGGACAAGCUGGUCAAGUUCAUGAUCCGCAUUGGCGUCUUCUCCGUGCUCUACCUGGUGCCCUUGCUGGUUGUCAUCGGCUGCUACUUCUAUGAGCAAAGCUACCGGGCCGUGUGGGAGACCACCUGGGUGAUGGAGCGCUGCCGCGAGUACCACAUCCCCUGCCCCUACCAGGUGGAGCAGACCAGCAGGCCGGACCUGGUGCUCUUCCUCAUGAAGUACCUCAUGACACUGGUGGUGGGUAUCCCUUCGGUCUUCUGGGUGGGCAGCAAGAAGACCUGCUUUGAGUGGGCCAGCUUCUUCCAUGGCCGCAGGAAGCACAAAGAGUGAGUCACCCUGUCGUCCUCGCGUGUCGUCACCGCGGCCUCCCAUGACACUACUCAAUGGGUUUGGGGUCUUUGCCUGUACUCUGAAGGUCGCCAGUUCGAAUCCCAGGGUCAAUAAAGUGAUUCCACCAUUGGGAGAGAUGUUACCUGGUACAUUAGGCAGAUCUUAAUUUGGCUCCGCUUCGGAUGUCAUAAGCGAGGGGGGGGCAUAUUCCUUGAGUCCUGAGUCCUAAGGCCGCAUUAUUAAGGCUCUGCCGGUCGACGCGACAGCAAAGACAGAAACCGCCCCGAGAGAGGUUCGAAGCUGCGAUCUGCCGAUCGCAAGAAUGAUGACGGGACGGACGCCCUGCGGGUAGUGCCACCCAUCCAUCCCCGACCCACCGUCCCAUUUAGGCCGCAUUAUAUAAAGGCUCUGCCGGUCGACGCGACAGCAAAGACAGAAACAGCCCCGAGAGAGGUUCGAAGCUGCGAUCUGCCGAUCGCAAGAAUGAUGACGGGACGGACGCCCUGCGGGUAGUGCCACCCAUCCAUCCCCGACCCAUUAAGGCCGCAUUAUAUAAAGGCUCUGCCGGUCGACGCGACAGCAAAGACAGAAACAGCCCGGAGAGAGGUUCGAAGCUGCGAUCUGCCGAUCGCAAGAAUGAUGACGGGACGGGCGCCCUGCGGGUAGUGCCACCCAUCCAUCCCCGACCAACUGUCCCUUUUCGGCCGUGUUAUAAGGCUCUGCCGGUCGAAUCGACAGCAAAGAGAAACAGCACUAAGCUGCGUGUUUGAGAGUCAAAAUAACGAAAAGAUCAAUGUCAAACGGGAGUGGUAAGUGGCUCAGUGGGCAAAGUCGCUGUGCUUGUGAUUGGAAAGUUGAGGUUGGUGGUUCAAGUCCGCCCUCAGCAGGAUGGUUACCGGGUGGGUCUUUGAAUGCACUGAGUGACCCUGGAGAGAGUGUGUGUGUGUGUGUGUGUGUGUGUGUGUGUGUGUGUGUGUGUGUGUGUAUGUGAGUGUGUGUGAGAGAGAGAGAGCAGGAUCAUUCAGUGUGCUUGAGGUCCUGCCCUGUAACUAUUCUGCUGAGGGCAGGCUUGAGCACACUGACCUGAUCAUAAGCACAGAGAUUAGCCACUCACCACCCCUUUUUUUUUUUUUAAGAAAAAAAAAUUGCAAAUAACUUCUGUACCACCCAUCUCCGUGUGUUACUCUGUUUCUAUGGCCCUUCCCCUAGGGUCUGCGCUGUGACUAUUCUGCCGAGGCUGGGCUUGAACCGGCAACCUUCAGAUCAUAGAUAAAGAGGCUUAGCCUGCAGCGCCACUUGCCUUCCCUGCUUGUGGGCUGUUUUUCGUAUAUGUAUUUUUUGUGUGUCGACGCGACAGCGAAGAAAGAAACUUCACUAAGCGAGGUUCGAAGCUGCGAUCUGCCGAUCGCAAGAAUGAUGACGGGACGGACGCUCUGUGGGUAGUGCCACCCAACCAACCAACCCCAACCCACUGUCCCUUGUAGGCCGCGUUAUAAGGCUCUGCCGGUUGAAUCGACAGCAAAGAGAAACAGCACUGAGUGAGGUUCGAAGCUGCGAUCUGCCGAUCGCAAGAAUGAUGACGGGACGGACGCUAUGUGGGUAGUGCCACCCAACCAACCCCGACCAACUGUCCCUUUUAGGCCGUGUUAUAAGGCUCUGCCAGUCGAAUCGACAGCAAAGAGAAACAGCACUGAGUGAG